AUUGAACGCUGGCGGAAUGCUUUACACAUGCAAGUCGAGCGGCAGCACGGGGGCAACCCUGGUGGCGAGCGGCGAACGGGUGAGUAAUACAUCGGAACAUGCCCAGUCGUGGGGGAUAACACUUCGAAAGAAGUGCUAAUACCGCAUACGUCCUGAGGGAGAAAGCGGGGGAUCUUCGGACCUUGCGCGAUUGGAGUGGCCGAUGUCAGAUUAGCUAGUUGGUGGGGUAAAGGCCUACCAAGGCAACGAUCUGUAGCUGGUCUGAGAGGAUGAUCAGCCACACUGGGACUGAGACACGGCCCAGACUCCUACGGGAGGCAGCAGUGGGGAAUUUUGGACAAUGGGGGCAACCCUGAUCCAGCCAUUCCGCGUGAGUGAAGAAGGCCUUCGGGUUGUAAAGCUCUUUCGGCAGGAACGAAACGGCGAGCUCUAACAUAGCUUGCUAAUGACGGUACCUGAAGAAGAAGCACCGGCUAACUACGUGCCAGCAGCCGACGUAAUAC
rnacentral:rRNA from 1 species